AUCGUGAAAUUCUUUGGCUCUAUAUCACAAUAAGCAAUAAGCAAAUGCCUCUAGCGAGGUAAUCUUAAUUACCUCUUUGAAAUGUCCCUGAUGCCAGAACAAAGAUGAGGUUGUCCCACAAGUUUAUAAAACUCGUUUCAUAGUUUCAGAGCUACAAUGAAAAUUCUAUGAAACAAGGUAAUUUUAAUUACCUUUCUGAAAUGUCCCUGAAGAUAAAACACAGAGCUUGCUCUGGUGGGGAAUGUCUGUGAUCCAUAACACAAAUGAGCUUGUCUCUGAAAUGUCCAUGAUGGCAAAACACAAGCGAGCUUGUCAUGUGGUAGAGUCAUGUUGCCAAAUGACUUGUAACGAGGUAGGUAAACUCAGUUACCUCUCUAAAAUGUCCCUGAUCCCAGAACCCAAAUGAGGUUGUCCCGCCUCUUUAUAGAACUCGUUUCCUAGUCUCAGAGAUAUAAUCAAAUGCUCUGAAACAAGGUAAUCUUAAUUACCUUUCUGAAGUGUCCCUUAAGAUGACAGAACACAAGUGAGCAUCUGUCGCUUGCUUCUUUGAAAAAACAGGUUUCCUAGUUGCCGACAAAUGCCUCGAGAUAAUCAAAUGCUCUGAAACAAGGAGCUCGUCCCGGUCACAGUAGAACUGGGAGUGUUCCUGCUACCAUAACCCAAAUGUGUUGUCCCUGGUAAUGUUGGUUUCCUAGUCAACCGAAGCUAUGAACAAAUGCUUCAUAACAGAAAACAAGUGAGCUUGUCAUGCGGUGGAGUCGAGAAUGUCUCUGCCUAACUCGGUUUCCGACAAAUGCCUCGAGAUAAUCAAAUGCUCUGAAACAAGGAGCUCGUCCAACGAUGUCCUCGAGAUAAACACAAAUGUGUUGUCCCUGGUAAUGUUGGUUUCCUAGUCAACCGAAGCUAUAAACAAAUGCUUUAUAACAGAAAACAAGUGAGCUUGUCAUGCGGUAGAGUCGAGAAUGUCUCUGCCUAACUCGGUUUCCUAGUCACUCGAGCUCUUAAGGAAUGUCUCGAAAUCAGGUAAUCUUAAUUACCUAUAUGUCCAUGAUGACAGAGAACUCAAGUGAGCUUAUCAGGUAAUCUUAAUUACCUCUCUGAAACGUCCAUAUGUCACCUAACGUUAGAUUGCAAAUGAGGUUGUCCCUUUGGGCUACUUUGGAUCCUGGUUACCUGAGUUAAACACUUGGAGUUGCCUGAAUGUCCCUGAUGAUAUAACACGAACGAGGUUGUCCCUGAAUAAGUUUGGCUUUUCUAGUCAACCGAGCUAUAAGCAAACAAGGUAAUCUUAAUUACCUUUCUAAAAUGUCCCUUCAUGAUUGACCAAAGAGCUUGUCAUGUGGUUAACUGGUCACAAAGAUAAACAAUGCCUCGUACUACAGGUAAUCUUAAUUACCUUUCUAAAAUGUCCCUUCAUGAUUGACCAAAGAGCUUGUCAUGUGGUUAACUGGUCACAAAGAUAAACAAUGCCUCGUACUACAGGUAAUUUUAAUUACCUUUCUGAAAUGUCCCUGAUGACAGAACACAUGUUGGCUUGUCCUCGGGUAGAGUCGAGAAUGUCCAUGCAUAACUCGAUUUUCCUAGUCACUCGAGCUUUAAACAAAUGCCUCGUAACAAGGUAAUCUUAAUUACCUCUCUGAAACAUCCCUACUAGUUACCUGAGUUAAACACUUGGAGUUGCUUGAGAUACUAGUCACUCAAGUAAAAUUUAAAGCCAAACGAAAGUCCCAUGAUGCUAAAAUGCAAAUGAGGCUGUCACACCUCAUUAAUUACUCUAUCCUCCGAAGUUGCUUGAGAUCCUAGUCACUCAAGCUAAAUGAAAGCCAAGAGAUUAAAGGAUACAUUCGGGUUGCUGGUCACUUAAGUUAAACACUUGGAGUUGCUUGAGAUCCUAGUCACUCAAGUGAAAUUUAAAGCCAAGCGAAAGUUCCAUGAUGCUAAAAUGCAAAUGAGGCUGUCACACCUUAUUAAUUACUCUAUCCUCUGAAGUUGCUUGAGAUCCUAGUCACUCAAGCUAAAUGAAAACCAAGAGAUUAAAGGAUACACUCGGGUUUCUGGUCACUUAAGUUAAACACUUGGAGUUGCUUGAGAUCCUAGUCACUCAAGUGAAAUUUAAAGCCAAGCGAAAGUCCCAUGAUGUUAAAAUGCAAAUGAGGCUGUCACACCUCAUUAAUUACUCUAUCCUCUGAAGUUGCUUGAGAUCCUAGUCACUCAAGCUAAAUGAAAACCAAGAGAUUAAAGGAUACACUCAGGUUUCUGGUCACUUAAGUUAAACACAAAAUGCCUCGCUCUAGGUCUAAUGAAAAUGCUCAAACUAAAAGAAAAAACAAAAGAACAGCCGAGUUUCUAGAAUGAAAAUGAGGUUGGGCUGCCUCUGUUCCUUGUCAUCAACACAAUCUUCCUAGUGUUAAGAGAUGAGGUAAGUAUUUAUCCUUCUUCUGUUUCAGUUGUACGUAUUUCUAAUUCUUUAUGUAUGUGAUAUGCUUUUUUCCUUGAUAUAGUUUAGACAUACAUUCGACUCUUAAGCUUAAUCAUUUUUUAUUUAUGCAGAAUGACCUCAUUAGUACAAAUUCAUUGUGUUUACACACUAUCGAGAAUUAGUGACCAAACAUACAGAAGAUCAGUACAAGAAUUUAAUGUUAUUUUUCCAUUUGAACAAUCUUACCAUGUCGUCUAACUCCAUCUUUCUAUCUUUUUUUUGCAUGUAGUUCUCCUCUGGGUUUCAAAGAUCACGCCAAGAGUUCAGUUCUCCUCUGGGUUUCAAAGGUCACACCAAGAGUUUCAGAGUCGUCUUCUUCAAUCCGCAUAUCCUAUCCGACGAGGAUGAACCAGACCUCAUUGCGUCUCGAGCUCGUUCCGCGGGAUCUCGACUCUCCCCUCACCCCUGCAGAUCUUCCUCGAGGCUCCACGCUUUCGAUCUGCAGGACAAGGAUCCGACGGCGACGGCGGCGAUCAAGGAGGGAGGGAACGAAGCCUUUUCCAGGGCUUUUGAAAUCUGAGCUUUUCGGAUCUGAUUUCGUUUCUUCUCCGAUGAGUCCGUGUACUCCUAACAUUCUAAGAUUCAAGACAAUGGUCUCUCUAGUGACUCCUCUCCUCCUAAGCCUCCUCGCAAGGUCUUGGAUGCACCUUCUUUGCAAGAUGACUUCUACUUGAACGUUGUGGACUGGAGCUCACAGAAUGUUCUUGCUGUGGGGCUUGGUACUUGUGUCUAUCUCUGGACUGCUUCUAAUAGCAAAGUGACGAAGCUUUGUGACUUGGGUCCUAAUGAUAGCGUGUGCUCGCUUCAGUGGACUCGGGAGGGUUCAUCAUUGAGUGUCCCUGAUGCCAUUGAGUUUGUCCCAUGGUUUAUUAUAGUUGCCAGAGCUAUAAGUAAAUGACUCAUAACGAGGUAAUCUUAAUUACCUCUCUAAAGUGUCCCUGAUGCCAUAAUGUGAAUUGAGUUUGUCCCACGGUUUCUUAGUUGCCCGAGCUAUAAGCAAAUGACUCAUAACGAGGUAAUCUUAAUUACCUCUCUAAAAUGUCCCUGAUGUCAGAACAAAGAGAAGCUUGUCCCAUGGUUCAAAGAGCUUGUCCCGUGGUUAACAACUAGUCACAAAUGCCUCGUACUGCAGGUAAUUUUAAUUACCUCUUUGAAGUGUCCCAUGGUUCAAAGAGCUUGUCCCACGGUUCUAUAAACAAAUGCCUCGUCUUAGGAUCAAGGUAGUCAUUACCUUGAAACGUCCCUGAUGUUGUAACACAAAUGAGCUUGUCCCAUGGUUCAAAGAGCUUGCCCUGUGGUUAACAACUAGUCACAAAUGCCUCGUACUGCAGGUAAUUUUAAUUACCUCUUUGAAGUGUCCCAAGAGCAGGUAACUAGUCAGACCCUGAGGAUAUCCCGCUUCUUUGAAUAACUCGGUUUCCUAGUCACCCAAGCUAUAAAAAAAUGACUCAUCAGUGAGGUAAUCUUAAUUACCUUUCAGUGUCCAUGAUGAUAGGACUGAGAGCUUGCUCCGCUGUUUCCUAGUCACAAUACAAUCAUGAAAUUCUUUGGCUCUAUAUCACAAUAGAGCUAGUCCAAUAAACAAAUGCCUCUAGCGAGGUAAUCUUAAUUACCUUUUUGAAAUGUCCCUGUUGCCAGAACAAAGAUGAGGUUGUCCCACAAGUUUAUAAAACUCGUUUCAUAGUUUCAGAGCUACAAUGAAAAUUCUGUGAAACAAGGUAAUUUUAAUUACCUUUCUGAAAUGUCCCUGAAGAUAAAACACAGAGCUUGCUCUGGUGGGGAAUGUCUGUGAUCCAUAACACAAAUGAGCUUGUCUCUGAAAUGUCCAUGAUGGCAAAACACAAGCGAGCUUGUCAUGUGGUAGAGUCAUGUUGCCAAAUGACUUGUAACGAGGUAGGUAAACUCAGUUACCUCUCUAAAAUGUCCCUGGUCCCAGAACCCAAAUGAGGUUGUCCCGCCUCUUUAUAGAACUCGUUUCCUAGUCUCAGAGAUAUAAUCAAAUGCUCUGAAACAAGGUAAUCUUAAUUACCUUUCUGAAGUGUCCCUUAAGAUGACAGAACACAAGUGAGCAUCUGUCGCUUGCUUCUUUGAAAAACCAGGUUUCCUAGUUGCCGACAAAUGCCUCGAGAUAAUCAAAUGCUCUGAAACAAGGAGCUCGUCCUGGUCACAGUAGAACUGGGAGUGUCUCUGCUACCAUAACCCAAAUGUGUUGUCCCUGGUAAUGUUGGUUUCCUAGUCAACCGAAGCUAUGAACAAAUGCUUCAUAACAGAAAACAAGUGAGCUUGUCAUGCGGUAGAGUCGAGAAUGUCUCUGCCUAACUCGGUUUCCGACAAAUGCCUCGAGAUAAUCAAAUGCUCUGAAACAAGGAGCUCGUCCAACGAUGUCCUCGAGAUAAACACAAAUGUGUUGUCCCUGGUAAUGUUGGUUUCCUAGUCAACCGAAGCUAUAAACAAAUGCUUUAUAACAGAAAACAAGUGAGCUUGUCAUGCGGUAGAGUCGAGAAUGUCUCUGCCUAACUCGGUUUCCUAGUCACUCGAGCUCUUAAGGAAUGUCUCGAAAUCAGGUAAUCUUAAUUACCUAUAUGUCCAUGAUGACAGAGAACUCAAGUGAGCUUAUCAGGUAAUCUUAAUUACCUCUCUGAAACGUCCAUAUGUCACCUAACGUUAGAUUGCAAAUGAGGUUGUCCCUUUGGGAUACUUUGGAUCCUGGUUACCUGAGUUAAACACUUGGAGUUGCCUGAAUGUCCCUGAUGAUAUAACACAAACGAGCUUGUCCCUGAAUAAGUUUGGCUUUUCUAGUCAACCGAGCUAUAAGCAAACAAGGUAAUCUUAAUUACCCUUCUAAAAUGUCCCUUCAUGAUUGACCAAAGAGCUUGUCCUGUGGUUAACUGGUCACAAAGAUAAACAAUGCCUCGUACUACAGGUAAUUUUAAUUACCUUUCUGAAAUGUCCCUGAUGACAGAACACAUGUGGGCUUGUCCUCGGGUAGAGUCGAGAAUGUCCAUGCAUAACUCGAUUUUCCUAGUCACUCGAGCUUUAAACAAAUGCCUCGUAACAAGGUAAUCUUAAUUACCUCUCUGAAACGUCCCUACUAGUUACCUGAGUUAAACACUUGGAGUUGCUUGAGAUACUAGUCACUCAAGUGAAAUUUAAAGCCAAACAAAAGUCCCAUGAUGCUAAAAUGCAAAUGAGGCUGUCACACCUCAUUAAUUACUCUAUCCUCCGAAGUUGCUUGAGAUCCUAGUCACUCAAGCUAAAUGAAAGCCAAGAGAUUAAAGGAUACAUUCGGGUUUCUGGUCACUUAAGUUAAACACUUGGAGUUGCUUGAGAUCCUAGUCACUCAAGUGAAAUUUAAAGCCAAGCGAAAGUUCCAUGAUGCUAAAAUGCAAAUGAGGCUGUCACACCUUAUUAAUUACUCUAUCCUCUGAAGUUGCUUGAGAUCCUAGUCACUCAAGCUAAAUGAAAACCAAGAGAUUAAAUGAUACACUCGGGUUUCUGGUCACUUAAGUUAAACACUUGGAGUUGCUUGAGAUCCUAGUCACUCAAGUGAAAUUUAAAGCCAAGCGAAAGUCCCAUGAUGUUAAAAUGCAAAUGAGGCUGUCACACCUCAUUAAUUACUCUAUCCUCUGAAGUUGCUUGAGAUCCUAGUCACUCAAGCUAAAUGAAAACCAAGAGAUUAAAGGAUACACUCGGGUUUCUGGUCACUUAAGUUGAACACUUUUGCUUGAGAUCCUAGUCACUCAAGUGAAAUUUAAAGCCAAGCGAAAGUCCCAUGAUGCUAAAAUGAAAAUGAGGCUGUCAAACCUCAUUAAUUACUCUAUCCUCUGAAGUUGCUUGAGAUCCUAGUCACUUAAGCUAAAUGAAAGCCGAGAGAUUAAAGGAUACACUCAGGUUUCUGGUCACUUAAGUUAAACACAAAAUGCCUCGCCCUAGGUCUAAUGAAAAUGCUCAAACUAAAUAGAAAAAACAAAAGAACAGCCAAGUUUCUAGAAUGAAAAUGAGGCUGGGCUGCCUCUGUUCCUUGUCAUCAACACAAUCUUCCUAGUGUUAAGAGAUGAGGUUGACCUCAUUAGUACAAAUUCAUUGUGUUUACACACUUUCGAGAAUUAGUGACCAAACAUACAGAAGAUCAGUACAGAAUUUAAUGUUAUUUUCCCAUUUGAACAAGCUUACCAUGUCGUCUAACUCCAUCUUUCUAUCUUUUUUUUUGCAUGUAGUUCUCCUCUGGGUUUAAAAGAUCACGCCAAGAGUUCAGGUUAUUUUCUUUCCACUUUGUUAAUAUUUUUGGUUUGUUCUCUUCUCCUCGGAGUUCUAUUUUUGGAAUCGUAAUUGGUCUUUAAUAGAUGUGCUAUGUGUCUUUUGCCUUCAGUUUCUUUAGUUCUAUAAGUAAUUACGUAUGUAUUACUAGUAUGUUAAUCAAUUUGCAGAAGCUUGAUAUCCAUGUUGCUUGAGUUAAUGUUAAGUACCUUUAAAAAAAAAGUUUGUGCAUCUCUGUUUUUCCGAAUCUUUAUUUAGGUUCUACCUUACUAUUUGUUUCUCGAUGCUGAAAUACUCUCUUAACCUUUGUAUUAUUCUUUAGCACUGAAUCACUUUGUAAUUGUCUCACUUGGUUUAUUAAGAUUUAUUUUCUCUCUUUUAAAGUGUUUUAUCAUAUUGUAAUGCUGUUUUUAAAGGUACUUUUAAAAAAAGUUUAUGCAUCUCUGUUUUUCCGAAUCUUUAUUUAGGUUCUACCUUAUUAUUUGUUUCUCUAUGCUGAUUUGAUCUCUUAAACUUUGUAUUAUUCUUUAGCACUGAAUCACUUUGUAAUUGUCUCACUUGGUUUAUUAAGAUUUAUUUGCUCUCUUUUAAAGUGUUUUUAUCAUAUUGUAAUGCUGUAUAUAAAGGUAUAAAACUUAAAACAUAAGUCAAAAUGUUUCAGCUUAAGCUUAAUAGAUUUCAUGGCUCUUGGGUGAUACUCAGAUAUUGUGUUUAAAAUGCAUAAUCAGGUAUUUUCCACAGGAUAAAUUGUUUUUUUUGUUCUGCAGAUCUUUUGACCUAUUUUCUACAGUAUGUCCAUGUUUCAUAUGCUUCUAGUUGUAUCAUUUGGUGAUUUGAUUGAUAUGUUAAUGUUUUCUUUACUUGCUAUACUACAUUUGUUUGUUUGGAGAACUGAGUUGGUGAGAGUAGGAAGUAUUGCUAUACCUGUUUAUUGUGCAUUUAGAGUUUAUUCUUAAGUCAAAAUGUUUUUUUUUCUUGCUAUACCUGUUUAUUGUGCAUGUGAUUCUUUAUGGAGUUUAUUCUUAAGUCAAUAUUCAUAUAACUCGGUAUAUUAUUCAUAUUAUUCAGACUAGCCAUGUUUGAGUUAUGAUAGACUAGAAGUAUUAUUUAUAUUAUUCAGACUAGCCAUGUUUGAGUUAUUGAUAGACUAGAAGUAUUAUUUAUAUUAUUCAGACUAGCCAUAUUAUCACAUUCAGUAAAUGUUGGGGGUUUUCGUAUAAAUUAGGAAACCAUGUAACAGUAAAAUUUGGUAUCAUAUAGUUUGUAUAUGCUCGAGUUUUCUUAUAUGGUUAGAUUAUAUUGGUGUUGGCAUUUUUGAGAAGUCAUGUCUUCUCUGACUUGUAUGAAUGAUAUCUUCCUAUUAGUUAAUGCAAAAGCUUAUGUGUAUGUGUGUGUUAGAUAGGUGAUUGUUUUGAUACCACUCAUUUGCUUAUCAUUAGUCUUUGGUAUUUGCUUCUUCGACUCUUUAAAACAUUGUCAGUAUUUUAUCCUUUUGUGGUUGUCGUUUCGUUAUGAUUUGCUUUUAUGUUCUUGGUCUGUUGGGACUUUUGAUGAAAUGUUUAUAAAAUUUUCUUUGCUUUUUUAAAAAAAAUUUAGUUAUGUUCGUGUUUAUCAUGUGCUAAUAUCGUUUAGAAAUCUGAUAUACUCCAGUUCACCAAGUUUCAUGAAGUAGUUUGGAUUAGGAAAAAAAACAAAUCAAAUGGGGGACCGAACUUUUACCAAAUCGACCUGCGACAUUGCACAAUGAUUUCGAUUUUGGGAAAUGGAGAUCCUUGAUUCGAAAUUAUGCUCUUAUCAUUUGACCAAAGCCCCCCGGCACCAUAUAUAGAUAAUUAAGUGUAUAUUUAGCUAUAUCAACUCUUAAUAAUAUUUAAGCAUGCUUUAUUUUGUUAAAUACUGAUUGUCAAUGUAUAUAAAUCUCUCUGCCUUUCGUAUUGA